AUAGGUAAUAAUUCGCAGCCAGAAUCUGUAUGGAAAAUUAAAAAGCUAACAUAGCUUUUUAAUUUUCCAUACAGAUUCUGGCUGCGAAUUAUUACCUAU